rnacentral:rRNA from 1 species
UAAACGGAGAGUUUGAUCCUGGCUCAGGAUGAACGCUGGCGGCGUGCUUAACACAUGCAAGUCGAACGAUUAACCCAAACUUCGGUUUGGUUAUAAAGUGGCGAACGGGUGAGUAACACGUGACCAACCUGCCUUCUAGAUCGGGAUAACUCAAGGAAACUUGUGCUAAUACCGGAUACUCCGGAGCAAUCGCAUGGUAGCUUCGGGAAAGCUUUUGCGCUAGAAGAUGGGGUCGCGGCCUAUUAGGUAGUUGGUGGGGUAGAGGCCUACCAAGCCUGCGAUAGGUAGCCGGGUUGAGAGACUGAUCGGCCACAUUGGGACUGAGAUACGGCCCAGACUCCUACGGGAGGCAGCAGUGGGGAAUUUUGCGCAAUGGGGGCAACCCUGACGCAGCAACGCCGCGUGCGGGAUGAAGGUCUUCGGAUUGUAAACCGCUUUCAGUAGGGAAUAAGUAUGAAGGUACCUACAGAAGAAGCACCGGCUAAAUACGUGCCAGCAGCCGCGGUAAUACGUAUGGUGCAAGCGUUAUCCGGAAUCAUUGGGCGUAAAGCGCGCGUAGGCGGCUUGUUAAGCAGGAAUUUAAAUCUUAGGGCUCAACCUUAAGUCGGUUCCUGAACUGGCAGGCUCGAGUGCGGUAGAGGAAGGUGGAAUUCCCAGUGUAGCGGUGAAAUGCGCAGAUAUUGGGAAGAACACCGAUGGCGAAGGCAGCCUUCUGGGCCGCCACUGACGCUGAGGCGCGAAAGCUAGGGGAGCGAACAGGAUUAGAUACCCUGGUAGUCCUAGCCGUAAACGAUGGGCACUAGGUGUGGGGAGGAAUUCUCUCCGUGCCGCAGCUAACGCAUUAAGUGCCCCGCCUGGGGAGUACGGCCGCAAGGCUAAAACUCAAAGGAAUUGACGGGGGCCCGCACAAGCAGCGGAGCAUGUGGCUUAAUUCGAAGCAACGCGAAGAACCUUACCAGGGCUUGACAUAUAGGUGAGCCUGUAGAAAUA